CAGUCAGUAACAUCAGAUGAUUGCUGAGGCUGUGAGAGCCUUUUUUUUUUUUUUUCUUUUUGAGACAGGGUCUCACUAUGCAGUUCAGGCUGGCCUUGAGCUCACUUUGUAGCCCAGGCUGACCUCGAACUCCCAGCGAUCCUCCUGCCUCAGCCUCUUGAGUGCUGGGAUUACAGGCGUGUGCCACCAUGCCCAGCUCAGAACUUCUAUUUUUAAGGGUCCCUGUGGCAUGGACAAGUUCACUGUGAAUGGCCAAGGCUCCGGGGAACAACAGGGAAAUUCCUGGAACUUCAGCCUCCGCCCUCACCUCUGUCGCCUGGAAAUGCCUGCGUUUUGGCUCAGGGACCUCCGGCUGGCCGGGGCGCCUCGCUGCCGCUGUCGCCUCCCACAGCCUCAAGCACCCACCUUGCCCGCCUCAUUUCCGCGGCCAGGGCUGCUGCGCGGGGGCUCAGGAGCGACCGCAGCUGUUUCUUCGGAUUUGGGUUAGGAGCUACCCUGGGAGGCGGUGGCCUUCCCAGUCCUGUGUUCUCACCGAGCUCUGCCUCCCUCUCCCCUCCAGCCGGUAACUGCUCCCCUGACCAUCACUAGCCAGCUCCUUAGGAGGAUGGAUCUCAGCUCCAUGGCCUCUAAUUCCUUCUCAGCCUGGAGCUGCCUGGCCAGGGAGCACCCAUAUUCCCAGCCCUAGGUCACAGUGCUGUGGGGCAGUCACAGGGUAUCUGCUGGAGCCCUCCAUUUUGCUGAGCGGUAAGUGAAAGUACCACUUAAAAGAUCUUAAUUUUUUAUGACAAAUACCUUAAUUCACAACAAAUGUGGGAGGUGUCCUUUUUUUUUUUUUUUUUUUUUUUUUUUUUUUUUUUGUGGUACUGGGGAUCGAACUCAUGACUUUGUGCUUUGAAAAAUUUUGAGUGAAAAAUUGGAUGUAACUGUCUAC
rnacentral:lncRNA from 1 species